rnacentral:tRNA from 1 species
GUGUUGGGGGUACAGUGGUGAGCUCAGCUCUGUUCGAAGCAGUUGUCCCAGGUUUGAUUCCUGGCCAACACA